rnacentral:rRNA from 1 species
UACGUAGGGUGCAAGCGUUAUCCGGAAUUAUUUGGGCGUAAAGAGCUCGUAGGCGGUUUGUCGCGUCUGCUGUGAAAACUGGGGGCUCAACCCCCAGCCUGCAGUGGGUACGGGCAGACUAGAGUGCGGUAGGGGAGAUUGGAAUUCCUGGUGUAGCGGUGGAAUGCGCAGAUAUCAGGAGGAACACCGAUGGCGAAGGCAGAUCUCUGGGCCGUAACUGACGCUGAGAGCGAAAGCAUGGGGAGCGAACAGG